UUGGAAAAAUUAAACGUCUUAGUUUGAGUGAAACAACACUUGAAAAGGCAGCAGAAUCUUAUGGAAUUGACCUUGUGAGGUUCACACAAAAGAAUAUUCUGAGGGUAUACCCAAAGGGGACCUGAGUCACCUCCUCAAAUUUCAAUCCACUUACUGAAUGGAAGCAUGGAGCUCAGAUGGUUGCAUUUAAUCUGCAGCAUGUUGCAGAGAUAGCUUAUGAGAAUCAAUUUGUGAUGAAUACUCGAGAAGUCGAACAUGGGACAAUUACAUACCUGGAGAAAGUAAAAUUCCUACAAAGCAAUUUGCUGGCAGCUCACAGUGUUUGGGUCACUGAAACUGAGGUUAUUCUCCAUGUUCAUUCCAUGGGACACCUUGGUAUAUAUCCCAAAAUAAAUAAAUAAAUAAUUUUCCUUGUUUAUUCCAUGUUGCAUGUUAUUAAUAUCAAGUCCAAUCUGUUUAAUCUUGCCUACUUGUGCAACCAGAUUUAGAAAACAAAUUUAGAAUAAGUCAAAAUUUUC